rnacentral:rRNA from 1 species
UACGUAGGGGGCAAGCGUUGUUCGGAUUCAUUGGGCGUAAAGGGAGCGUAGGUGGCGAUGUAAGUCGGAUGUGAAAUCCCGGGGCUCAACCCCGGAACUGCAUUCGAUACUGCGUUGCUAGAGUACUGGAGAGGAGAUCGGAAUUUACGGUGUAGCAGUGAAAUGCGUAGAUAUCGUAAGGAAGACCAGUGGCGAAGGCGGAUCUCUGGACAGUUACUGACACUGAGGCUCGAAGGCCAGGGGAGCAAACGGG